GAUCAACGCUGGCGCCGCGCCUAAUACAUGCAAGUCGAGCGAACAGAUGAGGUGCUUGCUCCUCUGACGUUAGCGGCGGACGGGUGAGUAACACGUGGGUACACUACCUAUAAGACUGGGAUAACUCUGGGAAACCGGAGCUAAACCCGGAUAAUCUACCGACCUGCACGGCUCCAUAGUGCACGACGCUCUUGCUGUCACUCAUAGCUGGGUCCGCGCAGCACUUGCUAGUUGGUAAGGUAACGGCUUACCACGGCAACGAUGCGUAGCCGACCUGGCAGCGUGAUCGGCCACACUGGAUCUGAGACACGUUCCAGACUCCUACAGGAGGCAGCAGUAGGGAAUCUUCCGCAAUGCGCGAAAGCCUGACGGAGCAACGCCGCAUGAGUGAUGAAGGUUUACGGAUCGGAAAACUCUGUUAUUAGGGAAGGACAAAGGUGUAAGUAACUAUGCACGUCUUGACGGUACCUUGUCAGAAAGCCACGGCUAACUACGUG
rnacentral:rRNA from 1 species